GAGGAGGAACAAUAACCCGAUGUGCAAGGCUUGCAGCCCUGGGAAAGUUCAAUCAAGGACAGAAGAGAUCGAUGGUCCUUCCACGAUGGGGCACGGUGAGGAAGAUCAGCCACCUCUUCCAGGGGGUCUGUUGGACUACACAGAAAAUCAGCAGUCUCCAGCACCUCCAGGAGAAUGUACCCCUGAUGAAGUCGCGGCAAAAGACGAAAUGUGUUGGAUUAUCUGUUUCUGUUUGUGACCUCCAAUCUACGAAAAUAGGAGGAAAAUAUGGAUUGCUGUGAAAAAGGAUUACUGUGAAACAAUGGACAUUGUUACAUUUUAUGAAUUUAAAUAAAUAUAUGGAUCAAGUGGAACAUAUUCGACAUUUGUCAUUUUAAGAAUCUGGAUAUCACUUCUUGCCACCAGGCGGUAAUUGCUGAUGUUAAUGUGAAUCCAUUCGGAUUUUAAUAAUAUAGGGGCACCUAUUCACUAUAUAGGCUUGCAAAGGUGCGUCACUCAGACUGGAAUAACUGACGCUUAAAACUGUGGAGAAGUUAUCAACGUUUCAAUAUUUUAUAUAUUGUCAUCAGGAUCCAAAACACUUGAGGGUGGUUUUGCCAAAACCAAAACAUGAUGAUGAAUUAGAACCAAAACUAAAAACACAGGGCUCCAUACACCUCUCAUCUACAAAGGAAGAGGCUAGAAUGCAUACCCAUCUGAUAUCCCAUUUUAAAGCUAUUUAAUAAAAUCUGUCCAUUCCAUCUGAAAAUUCAGUUUUAUAAAAAUGUGAAUAUUAAAGACACAGGA